rnacentral:rRNA from 1 species
UACGAAGGGUGCAAGCGUUACUCGGAAUUACUGGGCGUAAAGCGUGCGUAGGUGGUUUGUUAAGUCUGUUGUGAAAGCCCCGGGCUCAACCUGGGAAUGGCAAUGGAUACUGGCAAGCUAGAGUGCGGUAGAGGGUAGUGGAAUUCCCGGUGUAGCGGUGAAAUGCGUAGAGAUCGGGAGGAACACCAGUGGCGAAGGCGGCUACCUGGACCAGCACUGACACUGAGGCACGAAAGCGUGGGGAUCAAACAGGG